rnacentral:rRNA from 2 species
UAUGUUAGCUUGCUAAUAUAUUUAGUAGCAAAUGGGUGAGUAACACGUACCUAACCUACCUUUUGGACCGGGAUAACUAUUGGAAACAGCAGCUAAUACCGGAUAAAAUAAAAAAAUGCAUGUUUUUUAUUAAAAGGAGCCUUUAAAGCUCCACCAAAAAAUGGGGGUGCGCAACAUUAGUUAGUUGGUAGGGUAAAGGCCUACCAAGACGAUGAUGUUUAGCGGGGCCAAGAGGCUGUACCGCCACACUGGGAUUGAGAUACGGCCCAGACUCCUACGGGAGGCAGCAGUAAGGAAUAUUCCACAAUGAGCGAAAGCUUGAUGGAGCGACACAGAGUGCAG